CUGAUGCAGCGACGCCGCGUGAGCGAUGAAGCCCUUCGGGGUGUAAAGCUCUUUCGGCCGGAACGAUAAUGACGGUACCUGAAGAAGAAGCUGCGGCUAACUACGUGCCAGCAGCCGCGGUAAUACGUAGGCAGCGAGCGUUGUUCGGAAUUACUGGGCGUAAAGAGUGUGUAGGCGGUGCUCUAAGUUUGGUGUGAAAUCUCCCGGCUCAACUGGGAGGGUGCGCCGAAAACUGGGGUGCUCGAGCGUGGGAGAGGAAAGCGGAAUUCCUGGUGUAGCGGUGAAAUGCGUAGAUAUCAGGAGGAACACCUGUGGUGUAAACGGCUUUCUGGACCAUUGCUGACGCUGAGACACGAAAGCGUGGGUAGCAAACAGGAUUAGAUACCCUGGUAGUCACC
rnacentral:rRNA from 1 species